AGCACCGCCUACUGACCAAUCAAUCCUUGAUUGAUAACGGCGUCACCGUUCUUAGAAGAUCCAGUGGAGCUUAGUGCGAGGAGAGAGAGAGGGAGAGAGAAAGGGAAAUCAGAGAGAAA